CCUACGGGCGGCAGCAGUGGGGAAUAUUGGGCAAUGGGCGCAAGCCUGACCCAGCAACGCCGCGUGAAGGAAGAAGGCUUUCGGGUUGUACACUUCUUUUAUCAGGGACGAAGAAAUUGACGGUACCUGAUGAAUAAGCCACGGCUAACUACGUGCCAGCAGCCGCGGUAAUACGUAGGUGGCAAGCGUUAUCCGGAUUUAAUGGGUGUAAAGGUCGUGUAGGCGGGAGUGCAAGUCAGAUGUGAAAACUAUGGGCUCAACCCAUAACCUGCAUUUGAUACUGUACUUCUUGAGGUCUGGAGAGGCGAGCGGAAUUCCGUGUGUAGCGGUGAAAUGCGUAGAUAUACGGAGGAACACCAGUGGUGAAGGCGGAUUGCUGGACAGUAAUUGACGCUGAGGCGCGAAAGCGUGGGGAGCAAACAGGAUUAGAUACCCUUGUAGUC
rnacentral:rRNA from 1 species